rnacentral:rRNA from 1 species
UACGUAGGGGGCUAGCGUUGUCCGGAAUCAUUGGGCGUAAAGAGCGUGUAGGCGGUCCGGUAAGUCUGCUGUGAAAGUCGGGGGCUCAACCCUCGAAUGCCGGUGGAUACUGUCGGGCUAGAGUACGGAAGAGGCGAGUGGAAUUCCUGGUGUAGCGGUGAAAUGCGCAGAUAUCAGGAGGAACACCUAUUGCGAAGGCAGCUCGCUGGGACGUAACUGACGCUGAGACGCGAAAGCGUGGGGAGCGAACAGG